ACGGGAGGCAGCAGUGGGGGAUAUUGCACAAUGGGGGAAACCCUGAUGCAGCGACGCCGCGUGAGUGAUGAAGUAUUUCGGUAUGUAAGGCUCUAUCAGCAGGGAAGAAAAUGGCGGUACCUGACUAAGAAGCUCCGGCUAAAUACGUGCCAGCAGCCGCGGUAAUACGUAUGGAGCAAGCGUUAUCCGGAUUUACUGGGUGUAAAGGGAGCGUAGACGGUUUGCCAAGUCUGAUGUGAAAGGUGGGGGCUCAACCCCCAAACUGCAUUGGAAACUGGUAGACUAGAGUGUCGGAGAGGUAAGUGGAAUUCCUAGUGUAGCGGUGAAAUGCGUAGAUAUUAGGAGGGACACCAGUGGCUAAGGCGGCUUACUGGACGAUAACUGACGUUGAGGCUCGAAAGCGUGGGGAGCAAACAGGAUUAGAUACCCUGGUA
rnacentral:rRNA from 1 species